GAUGUCCAGUCUCCACACUUUUUUGGAUAUUGUUUGCUUAAUUUAUGACAAAAUAAUCCAAAAGCUGAUAAUGUUUCAUGCCAUCGGGUCUUAUAGUGUUAAGUUCUCAGAUCUUCAAGUUCAGUUCACGGGCAUUUAAUCAAGCUGAGGUAAAUAUGUAUAUUGGGCCAACUAGUCUAGUUAACCCGUUUCUGAACAAAGCCAUCUCAAGGGUUACAAUUUUACUAUCUCGCGUAACAGC